UUCGCACACACCAAGCAGAAAGAAAAAAUGGAAACCACUUAAGCUGGUGUCUAAAUUUAAUUUUUGAAAAUAAAAUAGGCUUACAAAAAUCGUUUUGUUUAUGUCCAAUUUACCGUAUAAACCGGCGGUUAGAUGCCGCCAAAACUGAUUUCUUAAACAUCGCCAAUGAUUAUUGGAAGUUUAUGAAGCAUAGUUUAAUUAUGGCAGGUGAUAAUUGCAUGUAACAAAGACCCUUAUAGCCCAAUUAAGCUUAAUUUGGGAGUUGGUGCUUACCGAACUGAGAUGGAGAAACAAACAUGCCCUAGUUCUUAAUGUUGUGAGGAAAGCUGAGCAGCAGCUUAUCAAUUACAGGUCACGAAUCAAGGAGUAUCUUCCCAUUGUUGGAUUGGUUGAGUUCAACAAGUUGAGCGCUAAGCUCAUUUUAGGCGCUGAUACAAUGUUGUCUCUGAUUAUCCUUUUUUUAUGUUUUCAUAAGUUUCUUUUUGAUCGGUGUUUUCACGCAUGGAUUAGUAUUCGGGAGAAUCGGAUUGCAACAGUAGAGUGUUUGUUGGUAUGGUACAGGUUCCAUGAGAGUUGGAGGGGAGUUUUUGGCCAAGCAUUAUCAUCAGAGUACAAAUUUAUAUUACUCAGCCAACAUGGAGAAACCAUCCCAAUUUUUUUUCACACUGGCUGGUUUGUCACUGAAAACUUACCGCUACUACGAUCCGUCAACACGUGGGUUGAACUUUCAAGGUUUAUUAGAAGACCUUGGUGCCGCGCCACCUGGUUCUAUAGCCUGUGCUCAUAACCCAACUGGUGUUGAUCCGACCCUCGAACAACGGGAACAAAUCAGGCAGUUGAUUCGCUCAAAAGGAUUGAUGCCAUUCUUUGAUAGUGCCGUAUCAGGUACACCUGCUGUAUAACAUCAGUUGUUAGGUAUGUUUACAUUCACGGGGUUAGACCCAGCUCAAGUCUCCUUCGUGGCUAAAGAGUACCGUACCACAUUUACAUGACAUCCGACGGGAGGAUAAGCAUGGCUGGUCUGAGCUCCAAGACUGUACCUCACCUUGCAGACUCUAUUCACGCCGUUGUUACCAAACAUGUCCGAAACAUCUCACGCCCUCGGUCGGUCCUAAUUAAGAUAUCAUCGAGAAGAUAAAUGUCGUUACUAUCAUUUUUUUUCACUAUAAUCCCAUUGAUUAAUAAAUUACGCAAGAGAGUUGCGCCUCUUCUACUAUA